rnacentral:rRNA from 1 species
UGGGGAAUUUUUCGCAAUGGGGGAAACCCUGACGAAGCAACGCCGCGUGGAGGAUGAAGGCCCUCGGGUCGUAAACUCCUGUCAACCGGGACGAAUGCACCCGGCCUAAUACGUCGGAGUGUUGACUGUACCGGUGGAGGAAGCUCCGGCUAACUCUGUGCCAGCAGCCGCGGUAAUACAGAGGGAGCGAGCGUUGUUCGGAAUUACUGGGCGUAAAGGGCGCGUAGGCGGUCUGGCAAGUCCCGCGUGAAAUCCCCCGGCUCAACCGGGGAAUGGCGCGGGAAACUGUCAGUCUUGAGUUCGGGAGAGGGAAGCGGAAUUCCGGGUGUAGCGGUGAAAUGCGCAGAUAUCCGGAGGAACAUCGGUGGCGAAGGCGGCUUCCUGGACCGACACUGACGCUGAGGCGCGAAAGCUAGGGGAGCAAACGGGAUUAGAUACCCCCGUAGUCC